GCUUUCGUCCAGUGCAGGAAUGGGUCGGUGACGAGCAGGCUCGCUGGCGGCUGCAUCUCAGCGAGGGAUGCGUCGAGCUGUGGCUGGAGCAGGGACGUUGCGUCGGCGAAGACGGCAAAGGAGACCAGGGACGUGAGCCCCUCGGCGCUCUCGACGCCCGGAGGGAUGCCCGCGAUGUCGGUCGGGAAGGUGAGCUCGACGACGGCCGCGUCCGCACCGGACAGCCCCUCCAGGACGAAGCCUGCGUUGCCGGCGGUGGUAAAGAAGGUGAUGGUGGCAAGGCCGUAGCGGUGGAGGUAGUGGGCGAGGUGGAUGAGCGGGAUGGUGUGGCCCUUGGCGAGGAACGGGAAUAUGGCGAUGUGAGGGAGCGUGUGGGUCUCAGCCUCUGGAGACGAAGAGACUGCAGUCUGCAGCCAUUACUAACGCAGAAACGCGAC
rnacentral:misc_RNA from 1 species